GCGUCUGUGGCCUACUGGUUAGGGAAUCCGUCUUGUGACCGAAGGGUGGGCGGUUCAAUCCCUGACUGAUGAG
rnacentral:tRNA from 1 species